CAGACAUCAAUGCAUAGUUUUCUAAAUGCAAGCAAGCUAUGCUCCCCACUCUGGAACAGCCCUCUUACCCCAGUUCAUGAGGACAAUUCUGUAACAAGCAGUUUCCCUAAUAAUGCGAGCAAACAAAGUGAAGGAAAAGUUACAAGUGAGUUGAACACAGCUAAACAAAAGAACACUGGCAUGCAGAUCCAAAUUUGUGGACUUCAUGAGACUGUUGUGCCCAUGAUGGUUCUGAAACAAUGAAACAAACCAAAUCUAGGCAGGGGCUUAACAGCAAAGUCAACAAGCAGGAAUGUGGAAGGCAAAGAUUCCGAACACAAUCGAAAGGUCACAGAUUAUUAUCCUAUUAGACGGAGUUGCAGGAGAAGCAAAGUGGAGAUAAAGGUUUGAAAACCCUUCAAGGAUUUGUAGCGCUACCAAGAGAC